rnacentral:tRNA from 1 species
GGUUCCAUGGUGUAAUGGUGAGCACUCUGGACUUUGAAUCCAGUGAUCGAGUUCAAGUCUCGGUGGAACAUAGUUUCA